rnacentral:rRNA from 1 species
AGGGAAUCUUCCGCAAUGGGCGAAAGCCUGACGGAGCAACGCCGCGUGAGUGAUGUAGGUUUUCGGAUCGUAAAGCUCUGUUGCCAGGGAAGAACGUCCGUUAGAGUAACUGCUAACGGAGUGACGGUACCUGAGAAGAAAGCCCCGGCUAACUACGUGCCAGCAGCCGCGGUAAUACGUAGGGGGCAAGCGUUGUCCGGAAUUAUUGGGCGUAAAGCGCGCGCAGGCGGCUGUUUAAGUCUGGUGUUUAAUCCUGGGGCUCAACCCCGGGUCGCACUGGAAACUGGACAGCUUGAGUGCAGAAGAGGAGAGUGGAAUUCCACGUGUAGCGGUGAAAUGCGUAGAGAUGUGGAGGAACACCAGUGGCGAAGGCGACUCUCUGGGCUGUAACUGACGCUGAGGCGCGAAAGCGUGGGGAGCAAAC